UACGUAGGGUGCAAGCGUUGUCCGGAAUUAUUGGGCGUAAAGAGCUCGUAGGCGGCUUGUUGCGUCGGCUGUGAAAACCCCGCGGCUUAACCGUGGGCUUGCAGCCGAUACGGGCAGGCUAGAGUUCGGUAGGGGAGACUGGAAUUCCUGGUGUAGCGGUGAAAUGCGCAGAUAUCAGGAGGAACACCAAUUGCGAAGGCAGCUCGCUGGGACGUUACUGACGCUGAGACGCGAAAGCGUGGGGAGCAAACAGG
rnacentral:rRNA from 1 species